AUCCGGCUGACGAGUCCCAAAUAGGACGAAACCCACGCCCUGUAU
rnacentral:hammerhead_ribozyme from 1 species